rnacentral:rRNA from 1 species
AAGUCGUAACAAGGUUUCCGUAGGUGAACCUGCGGAAGGAUCAUUACCUAGAGUUGUAGGCUUUGCCUGCUAUCUCUUACCCAUGUCUUUUAAGUACCUUCGUUUCCUCGGCGGGUUCGCCCGCCGAUUGGACAAUUUAAACCAUUUGCAGUUGCAAUCAGCGUCUGAAAAAACUUAAUAGUUACAACUUUCAACAACGGAUCUCUUGGUUCUGGCAUCGAUGAAGAACGCAGCGAAAUGCGAUAAGUAGUGUGAAUUGCAGAAUUCAGUGAAUCGUCGAAUCUUUGAACGCACAUUGCGCCCCUUGGUAUUCCAUGGGGCAUGCCUGUUCGAGCGUCAUUUGUACCUUCAAGCUCUGCUUGGUGUUGGGUGUUUGUCUCGCCUCUGCGUGUAGACUCGCCUCAAAACAAUUGGCAGCCGGCGUAUUGAUUUCGGAGCGCAGUACAUCUCGCGCUUUGCACUCAUAACGACGACGUCCAAAAGUACAUUUUUACACUCUUGACCUCGGAUCAGGUAGGGAUACCCGCUGAACUUAA